GAUGAACGCUAGCUACAGGCUUAACACAUGCAAGUCGAGGGGAAACGACAUCGAAAGCUUGCUUUUGAUGGGCGUCGACCGGCGCACGGGUGAGUAACGCGUAUCCAACCUGCCCGUCACUUGGGGAUAACCUUGCGAAAGUAAGACUAAUACCCGAUGAUAUCCCUAGAAGACAUCUGAAAGGGAUUAAAGAUUUAUCGGUGAUGGAUGGGGAUGCGUCUGAUUAGCUUGUUGGCGGGGUAACGGCCCACCAAGGCAACGAUCAGUAGGGGUUCUGAGAGGAAGGUCCCCCCACAUUGGAACUGAGACACGGUCCAAAACUCCUACGGGAGGCAGCAGUGAGGAAUAUUGGUCAAUGGGCGAGAGCCUGAACCAGCCAAGUAGCGUGCAGGACGACGGCCCUAUGGGUUGUAAACUGCUUUUAUAAGGGAAUAAAGUGAGUCUCGUGAGACUUUUUGCAUGUACCUAUGAAUAAGGACCGGCUAAUUCCGUG
rnacentral:rRNA from 1 species